rnacentral:lncRNA from 1 species
UCUGUUCUGGUGGAUCACAUCUUUGUGUUGUUGGAAGUUGCAAGAACUUUUCUGAUAGAUUUCAGCAGAACUAAGAAUUACUUGAUUCUAUUGUUGACUUGAUCUCUGCUUUUUGAAACUUUGGACCAGUCUGCGGGUGAGAUGAGUCUUCUGCUUAUUAACACAAGUAUGAAAAAUAGCUCAUGUUCAAGAUCACAGCAUGCAUAGGAGUCCAAACCAUCUUGAGAUAUUGGACAAAGGAAUUAGAGGUCAGCUGGGCAGAAAAAUGUCAGCGUAUGACACCUGUCAGUUGACUUCAAUGACUGCUCACCACUUCUUCGUGUUCUGCACCUCCCACAAGUCAGCUCCACAGAUGUGUCAGGAACGCUUCCUGAUGACUGCAUUGUAACAAAUGUGCAGAGGUAUGAAGUUGCAGUCCAUCACUUCCACACUGUUGCUGUGGCCCUGUGAACUCCUCUGAAUGAAAAACUCUUCAGUAUCACUCAGAAAUAUGAGGUUUAGGUUCAUCAGCUCCUUGUUGGCUUGCGACUAAAGGCCACAAUCAGUGUGGAGAAUGUGGGGCCCUUCUGCUCCAGACAUAUUUUCCAUAGUAGUUCCAUAUUUUCCUCCAAUUUACAAAGCAUUUCCAAAGGUGGAGAGCAAGAAGUGCACUGCCUACCUCCUGCAUCACCCACAACAGACCUUCCCACAGCACCAAAGGGAGAGCAGGGAGGUUGUUGGCUUUAAAUGAAUUGCACUGCCAACCCAUAAGGUGCAUUUGGGUUCACCGUGUUUUCCCUGUAUUUAAGUUUUACUCAUCUGAAAUUAAGCUAAUUAUACGUUUUCUUUAAUUUUCUCCUGUAACUCCUCUUUAUUUGAACAGCACUCAUAAGAUGUUUGAUUAUGGUCCAAAGUUACAUCGACUUUCACCCCAACUCUGCUGUCCAUUCAGAAAAGAGGCAGAAGGAGAUGGGCUGGGUUAGUCUAGGGAGAGUUGGAUGGAGAAGAUAGUAAGAGGCUCCAUCAGUGCUCCCCAACUAAGUGACACUGAAGUGCCACAUGGAGGAAGUACUUUUUGGGGCGCUAUCAACAGCCUAAAACUGUACUGGUACAUCCUUUUCUCUGGGUUAACUCUGGUCUCUUCUGUGCCACAGUGUGAAAGGUCUGAAGUAUCUCAGCCACUGUGUUAUGCUGACAGCACCCUUACCAGAGGAAUGCUGUUCUGCUCUCCUGUGAAGGAAGAAGGGAAUAGGAGCUCUCAUAAGAGCAUUUCUUGUGCUUCAAGUUCUUUGUAAGAGAAAACAUAGCUAAUUUUAGUUUAAAUGGAUGUUAAUUUGACGUGUGGAUUUGAAUAACUGAGAUAAAUUCUUGGCUUUUUGGCAUUAUAAUAUAUUAAAUGACAAAUGCUUUUUGAAUACUGAAAGGUUCUUUCUCUCUCCUCUGUAAGGCGUAAGUCUCCUGGAUUUGCAGGAAGUUGUACAGAAUGGUCCAAUAGGUCAUCUUCAUCUCUGGCUUAUGUGGUAAUAAAGGAAUAAUAAAAACGAAGGUUGCAAAGCAUUCUUUCCAUGACUGAAUCAGCUGGCUUUUUUAUGGGCCAGUUAUUCACUGAGCAAUAAAUAUUCAUGGGCUUUUCAGCAAAGACAUGGUGCAUAAUUAGUCUUGAGCGC